CUGACGCAUGGCGUAUUGGUGCAACCGAGCUUCCUGGGCACGGACAACAGCCAUAUGGUCCAGGCGCUGCGCGCCGCGCGCGGCCGCCUGC
rnacentral:tRNA from 2 species